GCUCAUGAAAUUUGGUGAUGUGACUCGGAUAGGGGGACCUCCCUUGGGAGAUCAGUACCCUGUCCUCCUGCUCUUUGCUCCGUGAGAAAGAUCCACCUACAACCUCAGGUCCUUAGACCAACCAGCCCAAGAAACAUCUCACCAAUUUCAAAUCCAGACCCCACUGGAAAUCGGACUGUCCAACUCACCUGACAGCCACUCCCACAGCCGCUGGAACUCUGGCCCAAGGCUCUCUGACUCCUUCCCAGAUCUUCUUGGCUUAGCGGCUGAAGACUGACGCUGCCCGAUCGCCUCGGAAGCCCCCUAGACCAUCACGGACGCCGAGCUUCGGGUAACUCUCACAGUGGAAGGCUGGAGUGCAGUGGUACAAUCAUGGCACACUGCAGCCUCAACCUCAUGGGCUCAGAGAGGGGGUUUUGCCAUGUUUCCCAGGCUGGUCUCGAACUCCUGGGCUCAAGUGAUCCGCCCAGCUCAGCCUCCCAAAGUGCUAGGAUUACAAGCAUGAGCCACUGCACCCAGCCAAAAGCCCAAAAUGGUCUCAGGAAUGGGAUCAGCAGGUCUCAGGGUUGUACUCUCCUGGAUCUCUCACCAGCCACCUCAAACCAGCUGCCAUAGCCUGUCCACUUCCACUCCAAUCUUCUCUUCCUUCAUCACCUCCCUUGCACACCCUGAUAACCUCGAAAGAGAACUCUUCCCAAGGCUCUGUUCCAAACACAUCGCCACUCUGCUUAGAACCUUCAAUGACUCCUCAUGGCCUAGGAGGUUUCUCUCCCAUCUGGAUCCAGCUGACGUUCCCAGCACCUUCUCCUGACUCCUGUCUUUUCUUGAACCAGUUCUGCCCAACAAGGAGGAAAGGGCUGACAGAGUGAAAGUCCCAGGGCAUGUGGGAAUGUGACUCUUUUCACUUUAAAUUCUAUGACUGGAAAGUUUUGGGCAGAGUUGGACAUGUGCACUUAGCUUCCAGAAGACAGAAUCCUUUUAAAAGAGUCAGAGAAAACACUGGCUUCCUGCCAUGACAUGAGAUACAGACAGGAGAGUUGGGAAGCUUUUUAAAGAUGGCACUAUGACUACAAUCACAGAAACUCUCCAUGAGGAAGUAAAAGAAAGCACCUGCAACACUCCAGCUAUGCAGACCACUCUGUAAUGGGCUCAGAUCUGGACAGGUGUGUGGAAAGGUGGGUCAACAGGUCAGGCGUCACAGACUUGGAACAUUCAUGGUGGAAAAGAAAAAGCCCCAAAGAAGAGACUUCAGGAUAAAUGAGAAAAUACUCAAGACAGCAAAAGUCUCUUUUAGAAAUGUUGGAGAAAGAACACUUAAUGUCAGGAGUUACUGUUGAUUGAUGGCCUUACUGUGUAGCAGGUGAGAAACCCAUUGUUCAGUUCCCUAAAGUCACCCUAUUCUCCCAAUCAUCCUAUGGAGGGGGAACCAUGAUGGUUAUCCCCAUCUUAUAAAUAAAGCAACAGAGGCUUAGAAGGACGAACUCUUUUUCUCAAGGUUACCCAGAUCAUUUUGCAGAAGUCCCUAGAUUUGAAUCAUGCUCUUGCUUUGAGGUUAAAGACACAGGGGAAGUCGAACUCCUUAUCUCCUAUAUCCUGAAUAGGGAAAACCAAACAUUGUCAAGAGGAGAGGAAGCCUGAGAGUUGGCAUGAAUCAGAGUGCUGGGCAGUCUGGAGUCUUCCCCACUGAGUUGAUGAUGGAACAGUAGAGUGGGGCCUGAGCCCCGUUAGGGCAUGAGCUGCUGAAUGAUUCAUGUGAACACCAUGCACAUGGGAGUGAGGUUUUGAGCAGUGUGCCACAGGAGCCUACCCUCAGGCCCCACCAUAAAAUGUAGGGCCAGUCCUACAUUUUAUCAAUGACUUGCGUGAACACAGAAAAUGUGGAUACAACCAAAAGGUAACAAUCCAAUUAAAAAAUGGACAAAAAACUUGAAUAAACAUUUCUCAAAAGAAGAUAUACAAAUGAUCAAAAAGCAUAUGAAAAAAUGCUCAACAUCGCUAAUUGUAAGAGAAAUGCAAAUCAAAACUAUAAUGAGAUACCACCUUAUAUUGAUUAGGAAGACUGCUAUAAAAAUAGUAAACAAACAAACAAACAAAGUAAGUCUUGGGGAGGAUGCAGAGAAAUUAAAAUUUUUGUGCAUUGUUAGUGGGAAUGUAAAAUGGUGCAGCUGUUACGGGAAACGGUAUGA
rnacentral:sRNA from 1 species